CUUUCCUGGAAAAUGGCAAAAAGACACCUUCUUGGUGGUGGUGUUUUUAUAUUAUAUUAGUCAGGGGUGGAGCAGACAGCAGUACAUUGUUCACCCUAGCUUGAUGCCUGGCUUGGUGUCCAAAUCUGUCUUAUGCCUAGGACUCGUAA